UAAUAAGUGUUUUAUGGCACUUUUUAAAUCCAUAUCCCACCUUGUGUGCAAUGUUGGUCGAUCUUCUUUCAUGGAGAUCGACCAAACAUCAACCUUUAUCUUUUAACUCUUUGUCUUAAAAAUAUUAUGAAUAAACAAUUCAAAAUA
rnacentral:misc_RNA from 1 species